rnacentral:rRNA from 6 species
UUUACGGAGAGUUUGAUCCUGGCUCAGGAUGAACGCUGGCGGCGUGCUUAACACAUGCAAGUCGAACGGUGAAGCAGAGCUUGCUCUGUGGAUCAGUGGCGAACGGGUGAGUAACACGUGAGCAAUCUGCCCCUGACUCUGGGAUAAGCGCUGGAAACGGCGUCUAAUACCGGAUACGAGCUGCGACCGCAUGGUCAGUAGCUGGAAAGAAUUUCGGUCAGGGAUGAGCUCGCGGCCUAUCAGCUUGUUGGUGAGGUAAUGGCUCACCAAGGCGUCGACGGGUAGCCGGCCUGAGAGGGUGACCGGCCACACUGGGACUGAGACACGGCCCAGACUCCUACGGGAGGCAGCAGUGGGGAAUAUUGCACAAUGGGCGCAAGCCUGAUGCAGCAACGCCGCGUGAGGGAUGACGGCCUUCGGGUUGUAAACCUCUUUUAGCAGGGAAGAAGCGAAAGUGACGGUACCUGCAGAAAAAGCGCCGGCUAACUACGUGCCAGCAGCCGCGGUAAUACGUAGGGCGCAAGCGUUAUCCGGAAUUAUUGGGCGUAAAGAGCUCGUAGGCGGUCUGUCGCGUCUGCUGUGAAAACCCGAGGCUCAACCUCGGGCCUGCAGUGGGUACGGGCAGACUAGAGUGCGGUAGGGGAGAUUGGAAUUCCUGGUGUAGCGGUGGAAUGCGCAGAUAUCAGGAGGAACACCGAUGGCGAAGGCAGAUCUCUGGGCCGUAACUGACGCUGAGGAGCGAAAGGGUGGGGAGCAAACAGGCUUAGAUACCCUGGUAGUCCACCCCGUAAACGUUGGGAACUAGUUGUGGGGUCCAUUCCACGGAUUCCGUGACGCAGCUAACGCAUUAAGUUCCCCGCCUGGGGAGUACGGCCGCAAGGCUAAAACUCAAAGGAAUUGACGGGGACCCGCACAAGCGGCGGAGCAUGCGGAUUAAUUCGAUGCAACGCGAAGAACCUUACCAAGGCUUGACAUAUAGAGGAAACGUCUGGAAACAGUCGCCCCGCAAGGUCUCUAUACAGGUGGUGCAUGGUUGUCGUCAGCUCGUGUCGUGAGAUGUUGGGUUAAGUCCCGCAACGAGCGCAACCCUCGUUCUAUGUUGCCAGCACGUAAUGGUGGGAACUCAUGGGAUACUGCCGGGGUCAACUCGGAGGAAGGUGGGGAUGACGUCAAAUCAUCAUGCCCCUUAUGUCUUGGGCUUCACGCAUGCUACAAUGGCCGGUACAAAGGGCUGCAAUACCGUGAGGUGGAGCGAAUCCCAAAAAGCCGGUCCCAGUUCGGAUUGAGGUCUGCAACUCGACCUCAUGAAGUCGGAGUCGCUAGUAAUCGCAGAUCAGCAACGCUGCGGUGAAUACGUUCCCGGGUCUUGUACACACCGCCCGUCAAGUCAUGAAAGUCGGUAACACCUGAAGCCGGUGGCCCAACCCUUGUGGAGGGAGCCGUCGAAGGUGGGAUCGGUAAUUAGGACUAAGUCGUAACAAGGUAGCCGUACCGGAAGGUGCGGCUGGAUCACCUCCUUUCUAAGGA